CUCCAGACUAUCAGCACCAGAGUCAGCUGCUCAUCAGCAAAGUUACUGAUCCCUUGCUUGGUACUGGGCUUGGUACUUCAUGCCAGGAACACAGUGGGAGCGAAGCCAAGCCCCCAUCCUCAAGGGACAUCCAUAUUUGGGGGUGGGGCUGGAACUCCGUGGGUCAAUUCUUGGGUCAACAGAGUCCAGAGAGGGCAGGAGCCCUCCAGGGUCAGGAAUCAGGUCAGUGACAGUGUGGGGACUAGAACCCAGGGCUCCUCCUUCCUAGAACUGCCCCUUCCAACUUUACCACCUGCCUCUGGAUCCUGUGGGAAGCUGGCUCUCCUUCCUCCAGGAUGCAGGUUGUUGCCUGGAGCAGCGGCUGACCCAGACCCCACACUUUUAGCCCAGGGCCUAUUGGGGCCUGCAUGGGAAAGGUGAGAAUGAACUCACCACCCUCCCCUCUACCUGGCCCUUAGCUGCCUCCCUUUAUCACCUUGUUAAGGACUUUUUCCUCUCCAUUUGGAACCUGGAAUUUCAUUAUUUCAUAUGUGAAGCUUAGGGAUAAUAGGCUGCCACUUGAAGGCUGCUUUUCACCUUCCAAGCCCUCUGCAGACUGUUAAUUAGUCCUCUCUGGCAUGCUCCAGUAAGUGUUCUUGGUCCAGGAAAGGGGAACCCAAGGGAGGCCGAGGGACUUGCCUCAGGGAUGUGGGGCUGGCAAAAGCCUGAGGAGGAAAAAGAGGAGCCCUGCAUUCUGGAAACUUCUCCUAACGGACACCUAGCUCACCUAGCUCCCAGGCUCCUUUCCUGUUAGGACGGCUGAAUAACUGAGGGCAGGAGCAGAUGGGAGCCCUCCUGUGGGAAUAUGGCUCAAAGAACUUCACAAUUGGACCCUAAGUUGGAAUCCCAUCCCCUGCUAAUUGCACGACCUUGGAUGAUAAUUAACCUCUAAGCCUCCGUUUUCUUUUCUGUGGAAUGGAGGUAAUAACAAAGUGCUCCUUGAUGUUGAGGAUUGAGCUAGUGCUGGCCACUGGAGGUUGGAUGCGAGUCCCCACCUGCCGGGUGUUUACAGCCCCCUGAGGGAGACAGACAAGCAAAUGAACCAUGACCACACAGAGUGAUCAGAGCUCAGCAAUGAGACUGUAUCCGUGGGUCAGCAACACUGCCUGGAGGAAGCAUUAAGGUUUGAGCCCAGAGAGAAGAGAAGAUACUGAGGUUGGGAAGAGAAGCUUCCAUGUGGAGAGGGGCACAUAUGCAGGUCUGGAGAAUCACAAGUACUUCAGCAAGGCCUAGCAGAGAGCUGAGGGGCUAGGUGGUCAACGGCCUCACAUGCUGGGCUUUAUUCUGAGGGUAACGGGGAGCCAUGGAAGAGUCUGGAGCUCCAGAGUGAAAUGUUCAGAAAGUGUUCUUUUUCUUUUUGGCUAGAAUAAUAAUAACUGAGCCAACACUGGUUAUUCUGUGGGAAAACACACAGAUCAUUGCUUAAUAGAAGUGGUCUAUUCGGAAGAAAAAGCCUGCUGAAAGGUGGGAUCCAGAGAAAGAACCAAACAAAAGGCCAAGCAAAAGGUGGUGAUGACAUUGGUGACCUCAGGCCCAUACCAUAUCUCUUCACCCCACCACCCCAGCUUUGCCCCCGUUAUUUCAGACAGACCUUCCUUCCUGUUGGGACACGUGUGUGUGUGGCUGUGCCUGUGACUUGGCUCUGUGGUCACCUGCCUGUGUGUGCCACUGCCCCUGCCUCCCUGCUCUCCACCACUCCAUCUCUCCAGAGCCCGGUUCUGCCACCUCCUCCAGCAAGCCUGCCCUGGGCCCCCCUGGUUCCUGAGAAUAUUUUGCUAUAUCCACUUGGAAGAACUUUAGUAGGGUUUCUAAGGCAAUGUGAAUGCUGCGGUUGGGCUGUGAGGUAGAAUAAUCAGUGCUCAGACCUUAACCUGCAUAACCAAACAGUAAGCAAUUUGAGGGCAGGGGCUAUGCCUCAUUCCUUUCGGGAGACCUCAGUCAUCCAGCUCUGUGCCUGAGAAGCAGCAGGUCCCAUAUUAAAAUGUCUGUUCAGUGGAUUCAUGUUUCAUUGUGUGCAUCCUAAACUUGUCCAGGACUACUGUGAGCCUCCUCUUUGGAAUAAGUGUAGGACCCCCCUAAAUUUCUGCAGGGUCAUUCUCUUCAGUGCCUGGUGGCCCAGUCUCCUUUCUGAGCCUUCUGGACUUGCCAGGUACAAUUUACUGUCCCUUUUGCUGGGCUCCCAUAGAUUUUGGUGCCUAUCUCUAUUGUGUUUCUUAUUCUAUUGGGUCAAAGGCAUUUUGUAAAAAGCGUCCACUCUCUCCACCUCCCCACCCCCACACCCAGCCCAGUGUCUAAUUUGCAGUAGGAGAUCAAUAAGUGUUUGUUGAAUGAAAAAAAAUGUACUAGCAAGAGUACAGGACCACUCCUUAGGCAUAUUAAAUGGGAACACAAUUACCAAUUGAAUUCGUUUCCUUCAAAAGAGCCAUGUAUCCUGGAAGAUCCAUUCCAGACGUCCAGAUGGCAAGACUGGGGAGAGCUGGGAGUUAUUCCUAUUGAAACCGUUUCCUCCAGAAGGUCUAGAGUUCAAAAGGGAGGCAUUUGCCACAAACAAUUGGGCCAGUGUGAGACGAUGUGGGUGGCACGUUGCCAAGGUCUUGGUGGGACUUUGAGCAGUUACCAAUGCAAAUAGGAGAGAAGACUUAUCCCCAGGGGCAACUGUGGUCACCCAGAAAUGGAGCCUUUGGCAACAAGGAGAAAAAACCAGGUCAGCCACUGCACGGGGAUUUUCCUAGGGCUGUGGAGUGGCCUCUGGACUUGGAGUCAGGAGGCCUAGCUUCUCAGCUGGGAUCUGGGUUUUAGAUCAAGGGUUAAGAUGAUCUAAUGCCAACCUUAUUUUCCAGAGGCAUUUUUCUGAGCCAAGAAUUAAAUGCAGGGC
rnacentral:lncRNA from 10 species